ACACACACUAAGAAAGGCUGCUGGCACAAAAAAUACUAGAGAGAGAGAGAGUGGCCUGCGCCUCAAUCUUGCUAAAUGCACAAACUAGAAACUCUUAGCCAACUGAAAAUAACCGGCAAAAUUAGGACAAAAUGGGUUCCCAAUGUUCUGCCUAAAUACUGUUACAUGAUUCUUGGAGUUGGAGAACUUGCUCAAACUAGAGAUUCUGCUCCUUUAAAACCUACUAAUUAUCAAACAAGCUCCAUGUUGUGCUCUUAUUCUACUAUAUUAUAAGUGCGGGUUAACAGCUGAAGCAGGCGCCUCUUCGUCGACAUCUCUGCUUGCCGCUGGAGGAUAUCUUGGUCAUUCGAAAAGGAUUUCAAGUCGCUGCAACUCGCUUCAGCUUUGCCUUUAUCCUUUGCGUUUUCUGGUCACUUUUCGUUUCCACUUAGCUACCUUCUUCCUACUGCUUUCCGCACCACCUCUCACCAAAAUUCCUUCUGCUUUUCGCAUAAUCUAUCACCAAAAGUUCUCCAGUAACACAAUCGACGUUUGCAGUGCUUAUUGGUUUGAAAAGCUCUUCUCUUUUCCCCUGGUUUAACCCUAGAUCCAUUUACCCUCUAAUAUUCUCAACUGUUGCUGGGUUUCUAUUGUUUCCUCCAGGAUCCAGACAAAAUUACCAAGAUGUCUAGGCUGGGUAAAAAUGUGGACUCAAUAUGCUGGCAAGAAAAAGGAAAACGCCAAUGCUCUGAAGAAAGAGGCACCAAAAUAAAACAGAGACGCCGUGAAAUAUAUAGGGCGACAUCGGCUGAUAGAAGAGAACUGAACUUAUUACAGCGACGAUCGACGUAUCUUCAUUCUAGAACGCAGAAGCCAAUCAGUAAUUCCACUGAAGUAUCAACUUCUUAUCAAUUUAAUGGAGAGUUUGCUGAACAAACAGUUGCUCUAAGAGGAGCCUCAUCUUCUGUUUUGAGAACAUGUUUGUAAACUAAGAUUUUUUUAUCCUGAACUGAACUAUGAGACAUUAACGUUCAUAACACUCUUUUUUAUCUUAGAAAAUAUGUCCACAGUUCAGGAUUCCCAUGUUUCUAAUAAUGUCAAAGAUGUCCGUGAUAGCUCAUGUAUUUUUGAAGUUGGUAAGUGUAGAAGUAUGGUGUUCAAAUUU